rnacentral:rRNA from 1 species
AUUCCGGUUGAUCCUGCCGGAGGACAUUGCUAUUGGGAUUCGAUUUAGCCAUGCUAGUCGAGCGAGUUCAGACUCGCGGCGAAUAGCUCAGUAACACGUGGCCAAGCUCCCCUUCAGUCAGCGAUACCCUCGGGAAACUGAGGUUAACAGCUGAUACACAACGCCAGCUGGAAUGCGGCGUUUCAGAAAGACAUCGCUGAAGGAUGCGGCUGCGGCCGAUUAGGUAGACGGUGGGGUAACGGCCCACCGUGCCAGUAAUCGGUACGGGUGAUGAGAGUCAGAGCCCGGAGACGGAAUCUGAGACAAGAUUCCGGGCCCUACGGGGCGCAGCAGGCGCGAAACCUUUACACUGCACGGAAGUGCGAUAGGGGAAUCCCAAGUGCGAGGGCAUAUUAGCCCUCGCUUUUCUCGACUGUAAGGCGGCCGACGAAUAAGAGCUGGGCAAGACCGGUGCCAGCCGCCGCGGUAAUACCGGCAGCUCAAGUGAUGUCCCAUAUUAUUGGGCCUAAAGCGUCCGUAGCU